GAAUGGGACCUUGAUCCUGAACCGCUACCUCAGUUUUCCAGAACCAAAUAUCUGGCUCAUUCC
rnacentral:tRNA from 1 species